CAGCAGCAUCUGCCGUCCUGUCCGUCUCCCUCACCUACAGCAAAUCCCUCCCCUGCACUGAUAACACUCCGCAUAACAGGUUUCCUUCGUACUUAUUUAUGUGUCGGGGCAGGCUUGGCCGUUACCAAGGCAACAGAAAUGUCUCUUUCCUGUUGGUUUUGCAGCAGGAAGCAGGAAGACUCCAUCAACUCUGGAUGACCCCCCUCCACAAACACAGAACAGGAUGAAACACAAUCAGAAGAUGCUGACACUGAAUCUGAGAACAGAUCUGACGGACGGGAAGAAUGAAAAAGAAAACCUUGAAACUGUCUCCUGAUGAACUGACAGAUAAAAUGAGAAAAACGACUGAGGCUCAGACCAGACGUGUCUUCUUCCUGUGUCUCUCAGAUCAAUACUGUCUUUUUAGGUCUGACAACAUCGAAGGCAGAUGUUGAAUAAGUUAUUUCCCUAAAACACACAGAGACACAUUUAAAUGUGAACAAUGACUAAAUGAUUCCAGUCUCACUCCGGGAGCUGGUCCUGGUUUGUCUCCUCACCAGGUUGUUGGUGUUCACCAUACGCUGCUCUCUG